UGGAAGCUGCUCGAAGGGCUCCCGGAGCCUUCUCUUCUCCGGGCUGAACCACCCCAGCUCUCAGCGGGGCCUCACAGCAGAGGGGCUCCAGCCCUCGGGUCACCUCCGUGGCCUGUGAUCACAAAAUCACAGGAUUGUUUGGGUUGGAAGGGACCUUAAAGAUCAUCCAAUUCUUGCCCCGUGCCAUGGGCAGUGAAGCCGUAGGUCUGCCCAUCCUAAGGGGCUGACACACCUCGCAACGAAAGCAAUGGCAGUGAAAGUUGCAGACAGAGCCCUGGAAAGUGAUGCUCCGUUUUAUAAUGCACAGUAGGAACUUACAGUCUGUCUAAGAGAAGCCGAAUGUGGUGUUUAUGCUGCCUAGAGGGGCUCCUCUGGACUCGCUCCAACAGCUCCGUGUCCUUCCUGUGCUGAGGACUCCAGAACUGCAUGCAGGGCUCCAGGUGGGUCUCAUAGAGGGGCAGAAUCCCCUCCCUGCUGGUCCCACGGCUCUGGAUGCAGCCCAGGACAUGGGCUUCACAUCUCCAGGUCCCAAGUCCUUCUCCCCAGGGCUGCUCACAAUCUCUUCACCGUCUCUUUGUGCCAUCCCUACACAGAAGUUUGCGUCGUGUCUUGACACUGGUGGAACCCUAGUGUGUUGGAGUCCUGCUGGAUGUACACACGGUGCUACCUGACAAAUUGAGAUCCUGCUGUGCCCACAGCUAUCCAGCAGAGAUAUUGGUGCAGGAGGGCCCUGGGAUGGUGUCACAGCUUCCUGGGGUGAGCUAAGCUGAGGAGACCUGACCAGAUCUGACCAGAAGCGUUGAUGCCUUUCAUUUGUGCAACAACGACUGAUGCAGCUCUACUAAAAGGAAUGCGAUCCCUUGCAUGAGGACAGUGUUGAUGCCUUCUUCAAUCUACAUUGCUGUUUUGUCAGUGGGCAAACCUUCAUAUUUCCAACAUAGAAGGAGUGGUUGCUAUACACCACACUGUAUACACAGGCGUGAAAAUAAACCCAUUCAUUCCAAGAGAACAGAAGAGGUGGGGCUGGAAGAAGGUUUCCAGCCCUCUGAGCCAAAUAUUCGUCUGCUUAGGCCAAAAAAGCAGCCAGGCUCCCAAAGAGCAGCCACCUCCUUGGGCAUUGCCCACCAGCAGUUGUCACAAUACAUUGUAUGUUAUGCAUUUGGGAGAAAAGAAUAGCCAUGUAAUUGCGAAGGUUUCAGGCUAAUUUUAACUCUGUUAAACAGAAUUAAUGAAUCUGGCUCAGAAAAAUACAAGGCACCAGCUUCUUAAAUUUUUUUCAAAGCUUUUUAUAGCUUUCUAAGAGGAAAAAUUCCAGAAAAGCAACCCAGAGCUGCAGCUGCCUGAAACGUGAAGAAAUGGAUUUAUUUCUAUGAGCCUCUGACAUUUUUCUUGGAUGAGAAAGAAAGAUACAUAAGCCUCCCAGCACAAACAUUGAGAAUGUAGGAUCAAGACUCUGAUGGACUCAUUGUGUGUUUCACUCUGUGAGAUGGAGCAGAAGAACCUGAACAGUGGCUUUUGGCCCCUCCUUUAUGUAUCUUUGGUAAUUGUUUUCAAGAGCAAUGGUCUGUCUGCUUUCAAGUCUAAAAAUUCCCCUGUGUGUACCAUCAAGAGAUGUUUGCUGCUUGGCGCUGUGGAUUCAGGAGAGACAAGAAACUCAUCUAGUAGCACAGCAGAACUCAAUGAUGGGAGCAAGGAAGAAAGGGUAAGAAGAAAGGCAGACAGUCCUCUUUUUAUCUUGGGCACUUUUGGCUGGCUACAGACUUAUCAGAAUGAGAUGUCCAGCCUAAGUUAUACCAAUAAGCUAGAGAACUGAGUACAAGAAUUAUGUGCAGCCUGGAUCUACCUGUGGGUUCCCACUGUAGAGACCCAGUCUACAGCUUGCAUCAUCCUCGGAGAGCUUCUGUUCCUUAGAGUAAGUCCAUCGUGUUGCCAUGGAAAGGGAAACUAUAGGAAUAGUUUUGUGCAAUAUCUCUGUAGGACCAGGAGGGUCCAUGUGUUGAAGCCUGCACUCCAGGCUAUGCCAGAUUCCUGGACUAUUGGUCUGCACACACUGCCAGCUCCUCUGAGACCAGAGCUCUGCGGAGUUGAGCAGAUCACAGCUUGCUUCUCUUCCAGGCUUGCAACAAGGAAGACAGUGAGAAUAUCACUUGUUCCCCAGAAGUCUGUGUUCUGUAUUGAAGGGCUGGGCUGCGCUGGCUCAGUUAGGAACUGGGAACACAAGGUAAAGUUCCCAGCACACAAGUGAGGUGGAGGGGCCAGUGCCCAAAACUUGCAGGGACUCCUAACAGUAAUUCCUUGCCGCAAAGCCCAAUUGCAUGCAUUUAUUUUCUCCUCCCUGCCAUCUUUUCUCCCAGUGAGCCUUCAGAAACACUUUCUAGGGAUUCAUGAAAACACAUGGUGAUAAAAGAGUUUAUCAGAAGUCCUUUUGGUUUGUGAAAAUGUUCUCAUAAAUAAAGAAAGGUGAGUUGCACAGAUAUUUGCAAGAGUGCAUAGGUGGAACCGCAGAGGUAGGCUGGAGGACAAUGUUGAUUUUAUUCAGGUAAGCAGGUACAGAUACUUUUACAAUCUGCACACGGCUGGCAUCCUGCUUGUACAUUCAGACAUAUAUAUACGUGCUCAUGUGUAUAUAUAAAGAAGUGAGAUGGGUCAGUGCACACUGAGGACCAUUGUGUCAAAAACAUCCUGACAAAAUGGGAAGCAAGGCUGGCAAGAAGUGACAGCAGUAGCUCCUGGUGAAGGUCCUGAAUGCAAAACCGAGGGGUUGGUUCCUAUUUCUGGUCACUGCUAUGGAAAAGCACUCUCCCCCUAUUGUCCCCUCCCUCUCCUCUCUUAUUUUUGGCCAGGGUUUCCUCAAAAAUCUAUCUAUGCCCCCCUAAGUAGAUUGCAAACUCUUCUGAGCCAGGGGUUGGUCUAAAUUGGCAAUACCUGCCAUAAUGAGGAUUUGCUCUCAGAGUCAUUCCUAACAUCAGUACCUCUUGAGAUACUGCCUUAAAUUCCUCAGGUUUCUGGGAAUCCAAGACAACUGGGGAGAUAUUUCUCCCUUUGGAAAGGCUGUUGGACCGAAGCUGUAAGGAAUGGCAAAUCCAGCAGGGUUGAUUCUGUUGUGAUGGGUAUAUUGAUGACAGAAGUUUUGUUCUAAUGAGAACCAAUUGCAGGCGCCGUGUCUGCGAGCACAAAUACCCCAGGGAUGUGCAACUGGUCACAGGCAGACGGAGAGAAUGCGGAGGAUCGUUCUGGGCAAGUGAUGGUAACAACUCCUGGAAGAGCCCGCAGGAGCCCCCUCUGAAGCCUCCCACAAACACCACUAGCAGUGGGGGGUCUGCUGGACUCGCACACAGGAGUCAAAAGCCACAUGCAAUGGCCUGGAGGACCUCCAGCUUCCUGGGAACACAGCGAGUGCUGAGCGCUUCACAGGGAUAUAAAUAGGGCAGGCAUUUUAGCCCAGAAAUAAACAAAAAGUAAAGAUACUUGAUAAAAAUAAUUUACAGCAUCAUUGGAAAUUUCUAUAUAUGUGAUAAAAACCAUUUCCAAAUCCAAACCAAUCUCCUAAAGUGAAGACCAACUACAGAAAAAAACUAAUAACUAGAAGCUAUUUAGAAGGAACAGAAAGCAUCGUGAGAAUAGGGGAAUAAAGUAUAUCUCAAAUAGAACAAUAUAACGUUAUUGGCAAUACAACAGCGCACAAGCCUCUGGAGGUGUCAUGCUGUCUUCUUUGAUUAAAAGCUUGCACAGAAAUAUGAGCAUUAAUUUAGGAAAACUGUUUAUAUCUUCAGUCUCUCUAGAAUAUUAUUAAUUGAAGUAUGCAAAAUUAGGUCUUCAGAGCUCUUGCACAAUAUUGCAAGCAGCAAGGCUUUAUGCAAGAGGAUAAAACAAGGAUUUCAGGGGGGUUGGGAGAAGUAAUUAAGUUCUAUAGCUGGCAAGUGCAUUCAUUUACUGGAAUAACUUCCCCACCAAAGUGGACAUAGCUCUCUUUGUUUUACCUCUGCAGAUAUUUCCUGAAGGGAUGAUUAGCAGGGUGCUACAAUUAAUCCUAAGAAAGAAGCCACCCAACUACUAAGUGACCUGGCAAUCUGAACAGCUAUUUUGGAUCCUUAGGCUGUAGGACUUGAGCAUCACUAGCGAGACAAGCAGCUUCAGAGGCAGCAUCCCCCAGCCACGGGCAGAGGAUAGGUAAUAAAAAUGUGAUCUACCACAAUUUCCUUCCUUCAGCUGCCUGUGGAGGUAAAUUCUGAUUUUAAAUGAGUGAGGGUAGGACAGACCCAUACCUCUCUGAUUAUCUUUCCUUUAUUUAUGGCAUGAGAUCCACAAUGAGUUGUAUUUCUAGGUUGCUGGUGGUAUGAGAAUGGAGAAACGGUUAUACACUUAUCCCUCCUUUUAGGAUCUUAACCCAACAUCCACCAUCACUUCUUUAUCUUUUUAAAGUUUAAUUCAGAGCCUUCCUGCACAUCUAUCUUGGUACUUCUAGAUCUAUUCCUGGGUCUCAAGGACAGAAAGAGAAACCAGCAAAUAUCUCACGGUUUAUCCCUUGGAGCUAGGCUCUUUCUAAAGUCAUUCAGGCCGACCAAACAUCGAUAUCCAUCUGCAGAUGUUAAAGGAGUCAGGACUUGCAGAGCGGAGUCAUUAGGCAAAUUAGAGGUGUUAAUAAGAGCGGUGCCUCUGCCGUGUAGCAGGUGAACACAGCUGCACCUGGUUAGAUUUAUGGCUUCCUAAGUGAGGAGAUUUUCCCCCACAUGGCUACAAAAGCAGGCAGGAAGGAACUGCCAGAGGCAGACCAGGCUGGGAGAAGAGAACAAAGGAGCUGCAAGCUCUGAUAUCAGAGAGACGCUGGCUUCAGGCAGGUAAGAAUUCUCACCGUUUAGAGGAACUUCUUAAUUGGAGAGAAAACUAGAUUUCACAUAGCAAAACAACAAGGCUAGAGGAAAAUAAGGACUUUCUCUCCCCUUCUUUUUUUCCCCCUGUUUGGAUAAGUAGUAAAAAUAUUUAAAUGCUAUUUUAGAAGUCUGUUUAUUUCUUAAAUGAAUGGUCUCAUUUAAACUUGCAGACAGAGACACUUGGAUAUCAUCUAAUAUGUUGAAUUUUUUAAUAUCAAACUUUUAAUCCUUUGUCUUGGGAAGGGAGCAGCUUUCCCAGUACAGGAGAAUAUAGGGAUCUCCUUUGACCCUGAUGUCCACCGUCCACCACCUCAGGCAGGAGCGUUUGUGCUGAGGCUGCAGUUCUUCCCCCCCUCCCUCUCCUUCCCAGGAGUUUCUUCAGGUCUUAAGAAAAGCUACUUAACUGUUAGGAUCAUUAAAAUGUCAGUCUAGAAAUCAAAGAAGCGCACCAUAGGACUUGAGGUGCUUUUAAAAAGAAAUUAGGGUCACCUUGAGGUCUAAACACAACUAAGUUGUGCUCUAAUUUUCCCAGGACUGUCUUAAUGGAGGUUUAAGCUUUUAGGCUCUACAAGUCAAGCAAAGUGAUGGUAUUUCCCAUCUGAAGGUACUACUCAUCGUGAAUAAGGGUUGAAGACUAAGACCCAAAUGUGCAGCUGAUCCUGAGCAGAGAAGCAGCGGCUGGAAGCUCAAUGUGUGCUCAACUUCUAGCUGAAGUCAUUACAAUAAAAGUGAACUAGCUCAGGGAGUGCCCAGCACCCAAAUCCAAUUUUCAUGCUAACAUGUUGCUGAGAGUACAAAUUACAGAGAAUUUGCCAAUCCAAAGCUAAUGUUCAGAAGAGCCUUUCAGUUAGCAGUGCCGCCCUUCCAAUAAAGCACAUGUGCAAUAAAGCUUACACAAUUCUACUAAACACAGCAAAACACAAAGCAAAGUUAGUUGUAAGGAUGCUGGUAAGACGAUUUGUGUUCCAAAGCUGGGCCUGUGGAAAGAGACCAUUUUCAAAUGCUUACUCCCCAGAGGAGUGAGAAGUAUAAUAAAUUUUUGUGCAUAGUCAAGGGUGAGGGCUUUCUUGGUGGAAAGAAAGCCGGCUGGUUGGAUUUUACCUGUAGAGAGGAGAAAGCUGGGCACACUGUGAAACAAUAAAUUCUAGCAGAGCCUAAAGCGUGUCUGCUGAAGUUACUUUCCCCCACUAAUAAUUACAGUUCCCAGCAUGUAUGACAUGUUUACCUGCCUCCUUUGCUGCCAGAUUCACUUCCACAUUUCCUCCUGCCUGUUCCCUCUGAGAUGGUUUCACUGCUUGGGUAUUCCACCUGCCCUGCAGGGGAGGGCUCUGCUGGGAUGUGCCCUGCAAUGCACCCUUCCUCUCCGUGUGUGCAUCUGCAUCGCCAGCCUCUGGUGGAAAUCACUUCUGAGAUCAUAAUCUUGUUGCCUUUGAUAUUAAUUAUGGAUUAGUUGUCUAAAUAUGAUAUUGUAAUGUGCAACUAUAUCAAACCUCUCUGGGAUGGGAUGUAUGAAUACCUGUU